UCCCUGGUGGCUCAGAUGGUAAAGAAUCUGCCUACAAGGCAGGAGACCCAGGUUCGAUUCCUGGGUCGGGAA
rnacentral:tRNA from 1 species